GCUCCCAGCUGAGCAGAGAGCCCGAUGUAGGCCCGCAUAGUUUAUCAGUCCGUGAAGAGCUUAAUUCUGCCAACAAUCAUGUCAGCUUGGAAGCCCGUGAGAAUGAGGAUCCAGGUUUUCCAGCUGGAAAGGCUUUUGAGCCUUUAGUCCUUACUCCGUAUUCCACCUGAAAAGAGGAAUGAUACACAUUGUAAUUGACCAACUAGACUACAUGGUCCUUGAGGGUAGGAAGAGUAUUACAAUUUAUACUGCGUGCUUUUUCACACUGAAGGGAGGACUCACUAAAUAUGAAUAAUGAGCUAUAUUCUUACAGUUAGUAAAAGAGCAAAAAACACAUGAAGGACCUCUGAAUUUCCUGAAAGACCUGAGAAUUCCAGUGCAUGUACUGGAAAUAGGGCGGGGUGGGGGACUGCCAACGCGGUCUUCUACAGGGCUCUGAUGCACAGUUAGUUCGUAAGCCAAGCAUAAGAAACCUUGGAAGACUUCCACGGGGAAUAUUCCCUGUGACACUGAAUACUUCUCCCAGAAGCUUUCCAGCAUCACUAAAACAAGAGCCCUGCGUGUUAUUUGUACUGAUGAUAGCAGAUGCUGCCUGUGGUCUGCCUGUAACCUGUAGGUACUGGCCAUCACCAAGUACGCCAGGGCAACCUUCUGCAAGCACCCACAAGUUUCCAUUUGGGGGUUUCAGCCAGGAGUGCCAGUGCAGCUCUUAGCUACUGACAUGUGAAUGGGAGGGAAAAUCCCUGAACUUCCUUGCCCUCCUUUGGUGGGAUGACUCUGAAUUGUGUUCUCUGCUAUUAUCCAUAGUUCCCCAGUGGUACUGACAACCCUCCCACCCCACCUAUUGACAGGGGUAACCCACUCAAUAACACGUUCUUGCUUCACCCCAAAAUAAACUACUUGGACUCAA